UGGGGAAUUUUGGACAAUGGGCGAAAGCCUGAUCCAGCAAUGCCGCGUGUGUGAAGAAGGCCUUCGGGUUGUAAAGCACUUUUGUCCGGAAAGAAAUCCUUGGCUCUAAUACAGUCGGGGGAUGACGGUACCGGAAGAAUAAGCACCGGCUAACUACGUGCCAGCAGCCGCGGUAAUACGUAGGGUGCAAGCGUUAAUCGGAAUUACUGGGCGUAAAGCGUGCGCAGGCGGUUUGCUAAGACCGAUGUGAAAUCCCCGGGCUCAACCUGGGAACUGCAUUGGUGACUGGCAGGCUAGAGUAUGGCAGAGGGGGGUAGAAUUCCACGUGUAGCAGUGAAAUGCGUAGAGAUGUGGAGGAAUACCGAUGGCGAAGGCAGCCCCCUGGGCCAAAUACUGACGCUCAUGCACGAAAGCGUGGGGAGCAAACAGGAUUAGAUACCCUGGUAGUCCACGCCCUAAACGAUGUCAACUAGUUGUUGGGGAUUCAUUUCCUUAGUAACGUAGCUAACGCGUGAAGUUGACCGCCUGGGGAGUACGGUCGCAAGAUUAAACUUAAUGAAUUGACGGGGUCAUAGCUGUUUCCU
rnacentral:rRNA from 1 species